rnacentral:rRNA from 1 species
GGCGGGCCUAAACCAUGGCAAGUCGAGCGGUAGCACAGAGAGCUUGCUCUCGGGUGACGAGCGGCGGACGGGUGAAAAAUGUCUGGGAAACUGCCUGAUGGAGGGGGAUAACUACCGGAAACGGUAUCUAAUACCGCAUAACGUCGCAAGACCAAAGUGGGGGACCUUCGGGCCUCAUGCCAUCACAUGUGCCCAGAUGGGAUUAGCUAGUAGGUGGGGUAACGGCUCACCUAGGCGACGAUCCCUAGCUGGUCUGAGAGGAUGACCAGCCCCACUGGAACUGAGACACGGUCCAGACUCCUACGGGAGGCAGCAGUGGGGAAUAUUGCACAAUGGGCGCAAGCCUGAUGCAGCCAUGCCCCGUGUGUGAAGAAGGCCUUCGGGUUGUAAAGCACUUUCAGCGGGGAGGAAGGCGAUAAGGUUAAUAACCUUGUCGAUUGACGUUACCCGCAAAAGAAGCACCUUCUAACUCCGUGCCAGCAGCCGCCCUAAUACGGAGGCUGCAAGCGUGUAUCGGAAUUACUGGGCGUAAAGCGCACGCAGGCGGUCUGUC